GGUUGCUUCGCCUAAAGGUAAGGCAUCUGAUUUGGGAUCAGACCAUUGGGGGUUCGAAUCCCCCAGCUAAUCC
rnacentral:tRNA from 1 species